GCCCCUGUUGCUCAAUUGGUAGAACAUGAGACUUCUAAUCUGAGGGUCGUGGGUUUGAACCCCACGUUGGGCA